GUUGACUAGGUUACUAGCUCUGUUUCAUCACUUAGUACCUAAAGUGAUGUCAUAGACUGUUGAAAUUCAUUUGGAAACAAAUCCUGGCUGCUUUGUCUGCACUUUGAUGGUGUGACUAGAUAGUGCACUUUGACGGCAGUGUAUGCUGGUCAGCUCUGAUUUCCACAGAUACGCAGAGAAAUCCUGAUGUAAUAUUCUCAAGCCCCACUGAGAGAUUCUUGGAAGCAUGACUAUAUGGAAAUAAGAUGCAAUGGGGGUGGACUAUUAACACAUGGUUUGGAGCUGACACAGUCUGCAUUAGGAUGCUCAAUGUAUAAAGCGAAGAAUUUUCUUUGAGUCAAUACACAACUGGAAGAUAUCUACUGAAAUUAGAAACUAACAUUUCAAAUAAAUAACCCCAUUUCAGAGUCAUAAAUACAGGUCUUUGGAAUAGCUGCUCUGGCCCAGUUCUUUUAUUGAUUAAAUUUUAUUUAAAACAAAA